rnacentral:rRNA from 1 species
AAUAGAUACCCAGGUAGUCCACGCCGUAAACGAUGGGUGCUAGGUGUGGGAGGUAUCGACCCCUUCCGUGCCGGAGCUAACGCACUAAGCACCCCGCCUGGGGAGUACGGCCGCAAGGCUGAAACUCAAAGGAAUUGACGGGGGCCCGCACAAGCGGUGGAGCAUGUGGUUUAAUUCGAAGCAACGCGAAGAACCUUACCUGGGCUUGACAUCACCGCGAACCUGGCCGAAAGGCUGGGGUGCCCUUCGGGGAGCGCGGUGACAGGUGCUGCAUGGUUGUCGUCAGCUCGUGUCGUGAGAUGUUGGGUUAAGUCCCGCAACGAGCGCAACCCCGCCCUGUGUUGCCAGCGGUUUGGCCGGGCACUCACAGGGGACUGCCGGUGACAAACCGGAGGAAGGUGGGGAUGACGUCAAAUCAUCAUGGCCCUUAUGCCCAGGGCUACACACGUGCUACAAUGGCCGGUACAACGGGUUGCGAACCCGCGAGGGGGUAGCCAAUCCCGAAAAGCCGGUCCCAGUUCGGAUCGCAGGCUGCAACUCGCCUGCGUGAAGGCC